rnacentral:rRNA from 1 species
AUGAGGUAUUACAUGUGUGAGAAACUUAUUCCUGCGAUCCAAGAGCGCUGGCCGGACGAAGAUGAAGGACGGACAAUCUAUAUCCAACAAGAUAAUGCCACACCACAUAUUCUUCCCGAUGACCCGUGUUUCGGACAAGUCAUAGAACAGACUGAUUUGGAUACUAAGUUGCUUCAACAGCCUCCAAACAGUCCUGACAUGAACAUUCUUGAUCUCUGCAUAUUCAGGUCUCUCCAGUCCCACACCGAUAGCAAAGCACCGCCAAGCAUCAGGGAACUGAUAGAAGGUGUGGAGGAGGAAUAUUGA